rnacentral:rRNA from 1 species
AAAGCUCUUUUGUCAGGGAAGAAACACCGGGCUCUAACACAGUCCGGGAAUGACGGUACCUGAAGAAUAAGCACCGGGCUAACUACGUGCCAGCAGCCGCGGUAAUACGUAGGGUGCAAGCGUUAAUCGGAAUUACUGGGCGUAAAGCGUGCGCAGGCGGUUAUACAAGACAGGCGUGAAAUCCCCGGGCUUAACCUGGGAAUGGCGCCUGUGACUGUAUAGCUAGAGUGUGUCAGAGGGGGGUAGAAUUCCACGUGUAGCAGUGAAAUGCGUAGAUAUGUGGAGGAAUACCAAUGGCGAAGGCAGCCCCCUGGGAUAACACUGACGCUCAUGCACGAAAGCGUGGGGAGCAAACAGGAUUAGAUACCCUGGUAGUCCACGCCCUAAACGAUGCUGACUAGUUGUUC